GACGAACGCUGGCGGCGUGCCUAAUACAUGCAAGUCGAACGCAGUGGCGGACGGGUGCGUAACACGUGAGGAACCUGCCUUUCACAGGGGAAUAACACUGGGAAACCAGUGCUAAUACCGCAUAGUGAAAGAUGGCCUCGCGCCUGAUUAGCUAGUCGGUGAGGUAACGGCUCACCUAGGUGAUGAUCAGUCACCGGACUGAAGGUUGAACGGCCGCAUUGGGACUGAGACACGGCCCAGACUCCUACGGGAGGAAGCAGUGGGGAAUAUUGGGCAAUGGCGCAAGCAUGACCCAGCAACGCCGCGUGAAGGAAGACGGUCUUCGGAUUGUAAACGUCUUUAGACAGGGACGCGGUACCUGUAGAAUAAGCCACGGCUAACUACGUGCCAGCAGCCGCGGUAAUAC
rnacentral:rRNA from 1 species